AGUUCUCUGUCACUUCUUUUUCCCCUCUGUGUUUUCAUUCCAUUUUGUUGUGUGCUAGAUGUUGUGAAUGGUUGCUAUGUGCUUUUCCUUUUAGUUUGAUUUUAAGCAAUUUGUUAUUUUCUAUAUUUUGGUAAGCAAAAUUUGAUUUGUCAAACUUUGCCUCAAUGUAGGUUUGAACUUUGGUAUUUUAUUUCUGUUAACUACCCAUCUACUCUAAAAGCUUAAGCUAAUCGAGGGUGCAAAUUUAAUAUAUUUACCUUCAACACGCCCCCUCACGUGUGGCCUUCUUUUUGGUCCUACAUGUGUUUUUCAAUUUUUAAUUAGGAUGACGGUGAGGUUUGAACUCGAGACCUUUGGCUCUGAUACCAUGUUAACUACCCAUCUACUCUAAAAGCUUUAGCUUAUAGAGAGGGUGCAACUUUAAUAUUUAUACCUUCAACAAUUUCCAUUUGAAGCAUUAUAAGGCACUGAUUGUUGCUCUAGUUUAGCACAAGAUAUUUGAAUUUAACACCUGUGAUGUCUCAAAUUUGCUUUCUUUUAUAUGCAUUGUCAUAAUCAUUGCUGCAAGUGAUAAGUGUUUUAAGACUUCCGGAUGUGUCAAGAAUAUCACGACGGGGAGGGGAAAGGCUUGGACUGAGCUAUCAUGAUAGGACCCCACAAAAGAACGGGUGAUAUUGAGAGGUUCCAUAUUGAGCCAAAGGGCAGUGUCAAUUUAUGUUUACUAAUUUUAAUUAGCUAUUGUGUCAUUUCCCUGUCGUUAUUAUCUCUUAUUCUAACUUUAUCAUUUCCUGUUACUUGUGAUAUACCUUAUGGUUAUCCUCUGUGUACUGUAGUUUAUACCUUUAAGGUUGAUGGUCUACUCCCCUGCGGAUCAAUUUGAGGUUGUGCAGGAACUACUCUUAGGAACAUGGAUAUAUUUGUGAUCUCUAGGUUAUAUUAUCCAAAUAUUUGUUUGAUCUUGAUAUUCUUAUUCUGCGUUUGAAGAUGCAAGAAAUUUUCUUUUCUAUUAUAGAAAGUUUUUCUCACACUCCAAACAACCUGCCUCUUUUCUCUCUCUAACUUCUAUUUAUAGAAGUUUACAUUUUACCCUAAACUUCCUUCUUGGUUUCCAAGUUGGGAGCCGAUGGGCUGGAUUCCUCCUCUCGGACCAUGUGGCUUGGAGGCCCGCUUCUACUACGGUUCUGGCUCGGCCUGUAGGCCACUGAACAUUAUUCUGAAAUAAAUGGGUUGGGCUGGAUCUGGCCCAUUGGGGUUACUAGACCUCUCACCUGCCCCUCAGUCUCGCUAUAAUUAAUCAGGGAUAGAUUGAUUGGUGUUGAUGUGCGUGAAGUUGGCGGCUUUAUGUGACGGCAUGGGGAAGUGCGAACGGAUGGCACAUGUGUCUAUGUCUCGGAAUCUACGACGUCACCAUCACGAUGCGGUUCCCUAUGCCGUUUUGUUUCCUACGCUUGGUUAACUUUAAAAACUUGGUACGAACCCAACUACCUCCCUUCUCUUGUCGAUUGCAACUUUAGCAUCCUCUUUCCCUCUGACACUUAGUCAAAAAAGGAGAUCUCCGGCAAGGUUUGGGUUAGUAAUCUUCCUGGCAGCAUCCUUAUUCGUUCUACACCUCCAUCUCUUCGUUCUUCGAGGUCAGUUCUGUUCCUUUUUUUCUGCAAAAAAAUUUCUUUUUCUUUUUCUUUUCGAUCAUUUUUGGGGGAAUCCCCCGUCGUUAUCACCAUAGUACUUGAUCUCGACACCCUUCGUGUCUGGUGUGAGAUCCUCGACAAUGUUUACCUUAGACGUUGACCUAGGAACGUUGAUGUCAAGACCGGUGUUGGUCUUAUAGAGGGGGAGAUCCUCUUCUCUACCGUUCACCUGAACGUGAUCAGGUUUCUUUUACACACCUUUUUCAUGUCGUUCUCAACAAAUUGAAUCUUUCACCACUGCAAGUAAAUCCCAACUUUUUUAGGAUCAUGUCAGUCCUUUUGAUCCUAAAUCAAGAAAGGAAUCUGAAGUUAGACAUUCUGGACCUUUUACUUUUCUAUAAGAUAUGUAGGAUACGGUAGAACGAGGGGUACUACUACCUCUUCCCCCUUCCCAAUCGGUCGUUCUGUACCGGCAACCUCGAUUCUGAAAGGGAUUGGAAGAAAAAUAUCAUAGCUGUUAGGGAGGGCUUGGCAGGUUGCUGCUUCUAAAGAUUAUCCCAUUCCUACCGCCUUUAGUGACUGCUCUGUCCCUUCGUAUUUUAAGUAUUAAAAAAUAUAGGAGCAAGUGUAUAUGUGAAAUUUGCCUUCCUCGCUUUUGUAUUUUCAUCUGCCAUUACAUUAAAAUCCCAUGUGACCUUUUGGACUAUAGCACUUGCAUUCGUAAUUUGGAAUUGAACAUGUGGAAUAAUGUCCCAUCAGCUCCCAAGUUGUUAACUGCAUAAGCUUUUAACAAUAUUUCUUUUGAAGGGAUCUGCAUGGAUGAGUUACAAAUUCCCUCGUUUGAAAGGAACAGGAGUUCCCUAAGGCCCGAUCCUGCCACUGCUUCCGGUUUUGCCAACUCCUCCCACACUCGGGAGUCCGCCCAAGAGAGGGCAUAUGGAAAGAGGCCCUCAUCUGAGAGGAGCAGUGACGCCGACCUAGACAAUGUUCCCUUGUCCCAGAGGGCAAGGGUCUCAAGCACGAUCGGUCUGACCGCUCGGACUGACGCGCCAGCUUCGGCUGGUGCGACCGGUGGGGUGGAGGGCACUUUAUCCGUUCCUCCCACUGUGGCCCAUGGGUCUGAUCAGGGCGAACGGUUCUCUGGUCCAAUGACCAUGUUCAAGCAUGGACCAACUGCUUUGGCUUAUUACUCGCACAUGUGGUCUCCUCGGGACGUGCAGGUGCAGAGAGAGAUGUCAUGAGCACAAAUGUUUACUCGGUUUCCCGUUUCGGCUAUGGAGACUCUGUUCGGGAUGGUCACUAUGCAGAGGGCUCUCAAGAUAGCCGAUCAGAAGGUGAUCACCCUUUCUUCUAGCUAUAAAAAGUUGUCUAACGACCAAAGGAAGGCCAAGGUAGAGCUGAAAGAAUCAUAAGUCAAGCGUUCUGGCCUUGAGAAGGAAAAAAAUAAUCUUUAAGGCGCUUUGGAGGUGGAUGAGCACACUGCUCGGUCUGCUCUGGACAAGAAAUCUUCUGAAGAUCGUACAGCCCUUCUCGGUGUGAUGAGCAGGGUUGAGGGUGGUGUCAAAGCCCUCCACGCUCGCUUCUCUCGUGCUGGGGCCCUUAGGUAUGCUCAGGGGUAUAGAGAUGGAUUCACAUAUCGCUCCCCUCCCGAAGGGCAGAGAAGGUCUUAUGACGAUCCAGAUGAUUGUGAUCGUGAUCUCAGGAUUGAACCUCUUGGAAACUACACCGAUCCUACAACCGAUCAGGCUGAGCUUGUCUUCCGGGAGUGCAAGGAGAUCGUCACUUUUGGGGUCAUUCUCCCCCAUCUCGGUCGUCCAACCUUUCAACACUGCAUCAGCGGUCUCGCCUCCACAGAUUGGGAUGCCAGCUGGUCGUGCUCCUGAUGGUUAACCCAACUUCUUAUGAGAAUGUUGUUGAUUUGGAUUCUCCUUCUCGCGGAGACGAUCCUCAGGAUGACGUGGAGCACUCUUGGGAGGGCGACAUGACCGUUUAGGGCUUGUUUUCUUUCUUUUUGGGGUUGAUUUUGUAAUGUGAACGUCAUUUGUAAUGUAAACACCUUUUUGUGCUUUGAUGAACGAUAACGAAAUAUUUGGAUUUUAUUUUGUCUUCCUCUCUCUUCUUUAAUUUUUUUUAAGUGUUUGGUGAUCGGCAAAUAACGCCAUUUGCCAUUGACUUGGUCAAAUGCUUGGCAUUCGGCAAAUAGAGCCACUUGCCACUAAUAAUUUUUUUCUGUAAAUUUUCACAAGUGUUUGGUGAUCGGCAAAUAAUGCCAUUUGCCACUGACUUGUUCAAAUGCUUGGCGUUCGGCAAAUAGAGCCACUUGCCACUAAUUUUUUGUAAUUUUUCACAAGUGUUUGGCAUAGUUGUUAAAGGCUCAAGGCGCACUAAGGUGCAAAGGUGCCUUGGAGCUUGAGGCGCAAGGCGAGGUGCGCGCCCGACUGAAGCGAUGCGCAAGUUGAGAAAAAAAAUAAAAAAUAACAUCUAAUAAAGAUGCAAAAUCGUGUAAAACAAAUACAUAAGUUUAAUAAUCAACAUGCUAACAUAAAGAUGCAAAAGCAAACUAAACCAAAUAUUGGCGUUCAAUAGUCAACAUAGUAACAUAGUAAUUACUAACAUAAAGAUGCAAAAAUCAACUAAUUAAAUAAAAAGUAAAACAAACAUAGAAAUGUUCACUUCAUCAGUUCAUCCUAACUCCUAAGAAGACCACCAAAGGAUCUAAAUAUCAUCGGAUCAUCCUCAUCAUCAAUAAACAUAGCACCAUCUUGAUCAUCACUUAAAAAGUGCAACAGGCAUUUUCACAGCAAAGAAAAAAAAAAAAAAAAAAACAAA